GACGAACGCUGGCGGCGCGCUUAACACAUGCAAGUCGAACGGAAAGGCCUGCUUUCCCUUGUGGAUUGCGGGUACUCUAGUGGCGAACGGGUGAGUAACACGUGAGUGAUCUGCCCCCAACUUGGGUAUAAGCCUGGGAAACUGGGUCUAAUUCCCGAUAGGACUGCAGGGUGGUGCCUGUGGUGGAAAACGAUUUUCUAGUGGUUGGGGAUGAGCUCGCGGCCUAUCAGCUUGUUGGUGGGGUAAUGGCCUACCAAGGCGGCGACGGGUAGCCGGCCUGAGAGGGUGGACGGCCACAUUGGGACUGAGAUACGGCCCAGACUCCUACGGGAGGCAGCAGUGGGGAAUAUUGCACAAUGGGCGGAAGCCUGAUGCAGCGACGCCGCGUGGGGGAUGACGGCCUUCGGGUUGUAAACUCCUUUCGACCGCGAGGAAGCCACCUGGUUGGAAGGGUGGUGACGGUAGUGGUAGAAGAAGCACCGGCUAACUACGUG
rnacentral:rRNA from 1 species